rnacentral:rRNA from 1 species
UUCCCAGUGUAGCGGUGAAAUGCGUAGAUAUUGGGAAGAACAUCGGUGGCGAAGGCGUGCUACUGGACCGUAACUGACACUCAGGGACGAAAGCUAGGGGAGCGAAAGGGAUUAGAUACCCCUGUAGUCCUAGCUGUAAACGAUGGAAACUAGGUGUGGCUUGUAUCGACCCGAGCCGUGCCGUAGCUAACGCGUUAAGUUUCCCGCCUGGGGAGUACGCACGCAAGUGUGAAACUCAAAGGAAUUGACGGGGGCCCGCACAAGCGGUGGAGUAUGUGGUUUAAUUCGAUGCAACGCGAAGAACCUUACCAGGGCUUGACAUGUCGCGAAUCUCGGUGAAAGCUGAGAGUGCCUUCGGGAGCGCGAACACAGGUGGUGCAUGGCUGUCGUCAGCUCGUGUCGUGAGAUGUUGGGUUAAGUCCCGCAACGAGCGCAACCCUUAUUUUUAGUUGCCAGCAUUAAGAUGGGCACUCUAGAAAGACUGCCGGUGACAAACCGGAGGAAGGUGAGGACGACGUCAAGUCAGCAUGCCCCUUACGCCCUGGGCUACACACGUACUACAAUGGUUGGGACAAAGGGCAGCGACUCCGCAAGGAAUAGCGAAUCUCAUCAAACCCAGCCUCAGUUCAGAUUGCAGGCUGCAACUCGCCUGCAUGAAGGAGGAAUCGCUAGUAAUCGCAGGUCAGCAUACUGCGGUGAAUUCGUUCCCGGGCCUUGUACACACCGCCCGUCACACCAUGGAAGCUGGUCACGCCCGAAGUAGUUACCCUAACCUUUCGAGGAGGGGGAUUCCUAAGGCAGGGCUAGUGACUGGGGUGAAGUCGUAACAAGGUAGCC